GCCACCAUCCCCAAUCCCAGGCACAGGGCUUGAGGGAAACUUAUUUUCUGCCCCCACCUUCCUUAAAGGUGGAACUCAUGACUGAGACCUGAGCCUAUCAGCCGGUCACGUGAUCCUGGCCCAGGGCUAUUGGCUGUGGGAAGUGGAUGCUGCCCGCCCUGUUGUCCUGUGGGAGCUUGAGGGGAUGUACAUCUGGCAUUGCUGGCAGGCAUUUUGUUCCCAUGAGGGAAGAGUCUGGGAGAGAAGCAACCUGGUGGAGAGUGGGCCUAAGACACGGAGAGAGGAUGUUGAUGCCGUGAGUUCCCAAUCCCGCCGCGCCCGUCAGACUUACCCUCAGCUUUCCAGUCUCAGGAGCCAACACUCUUUCCUUCAGCCAGAUCAAGGUCCUUGUCACUUACAGCCAACACCACAACUGAUACAAAAGGGAAGGACACAAAACAAUUGUGGAGAAAGCCGUCUGGAUGGAGCCAGCAGCUUCGCUACCAUCGAGUGGCAUUUCCAGAGAGCAGAUGCACGCGGAGGGGUGUAGUUUGAAGGAAGACCUGGCGGGAUUUGCUAAUGAAUUGGAUAGCAGCGUAGUGAAAGAGACCCUCAGGAAUGACUUCCGGUUUUUAGGCUAAGGAAUUGCAA
rnacentral:lncRNA from 10 species